CCUACGGGAGGCAGCAGUGGGGAAUUUUGGACAAUGGGGGCAACCCUGAUCCAGCCAUUCCGCGUGAGUGAAGAAGGCCUUCGGGUUGUAAAGCUCUUUUGUCCGGGAAGAAACGGUUUUGGUUAAUACCCAAGACUACUGACGGUACCGGAAGAAUAAGGACCGGCUAACUACGUGCCAGCAGCCGCGGUAAUACGUAGGGUCCAAGCGUUAAUCGGAAUUACUGGGCGUAAAGCGUGCGCAGGCGGUUGUGUAAGCCAGAUGUGAAAUCCCCGGGCUUAACCUGGGAAUGGCAUUUGGGACUGCACGGCUAGAGUACGGCAGAGGGGACUAGAAUUCCUGGUGUAGCAGUGAAAUGCGUAGAUAUCAGGAGGAAUACCGAUGGCGAAGGCAGGUCCCUGGGCUGAUACUGACGCUCAUGCACGAAAGCGUGGGGAGCAAACAGGAUUAGAUACCCUUGUAGUC
rnacentral:rRNA from 1 species